CCUACGGGUGGCAGCAGUCGGGAAUAUUGCGCAAUGGAGGAAACUCUGACGCAGUGACGCCGCGUGCAGGAAGAAGGUUUUCGGAUUGUAAACUGCUUUAGACAGGGAAGAAACAAGACAGUACCUGUAAAAUAAGCUCCGGCUAACUACGUGCCAGCAGCCGCGGUAAUACGUAGGGAGCAAGCGUUAUCCGGAUUUAUUGGGUGUAAAGGGUGCGUAGACGGGAAGUCAAGUUGGUUGUGAAAUCCCUCGGCUUAACUGAGGAACUGCAACCAAAACUAACUUUCUUGAGUGCUGGAGAGGAAAGUGGAAUUCCUAGUGUAGCGGUGAAAUGCGUAGAUAUCUGGAGGAACAUCAGUGGCGAAGGCGACUAUCUGGCACAUAACUGACGCUGAGGAGCGAAAGCGUGGGUAGCAAACAGGAUUAGAUACCCCAGUAGUC
rnacentral:rRNA from 1 species